AAAUAAGAAGCAAAACAUUGCAUUUAGUUUCGACCUAAAAAUUUGAUGAACUAUAUCAUCCUUAUUUU
rnacentral:tRNA from 1 species